CCUUUUAUAAUAUAUUUGUAACCAAUGAGAUUUCGUCAUUAGCAUUAAACCGCCCUUUGGACAUUCACGAUUGGUUCCUAAUAGAAAGC